AGCGAACGCUGGCGGCAGGCCUAACACAUGCAAGUCGAACGAACUCUUCGGAGUUAGUGGCGGACGGGUGAGUAACACGUGGGAACGUGCCUUUUGGUUCGGAAUAACUCAGGGAAACUUGUGCUAAUACCGAAUGUGCCCUUCGGGGGAAAGAUUUAUCGCCAUUAGAGCGGCCCGCGUCUGAUUAGCUAGUUGGUGAGGUAACGGCUCACCAAGGCGACGAUCAGUAGCUGGUCUGAGAGGAUGACCAGCCACACUGGGACUGAGACACGGCCCAGACUCCUACGGGAGGCAGCAGUGGGGAAUCUUGCGCAAUGGGCGCAAGCCUGACGCAGCCAUGCCGCGUGAAUGAUGAAGGUCUUAGGAUUGUAAAAUUCUUUCACCGGGGACGAUAAUGACGGUACCCGGAGAAGAAGCCCCGGCUAACUUCGUG
rnacentral:rRNA from 1 species